GGUAAAUUCGGAACUUUGACGGGCGUUGCAAACGGAUUCCAUCGUUUCCACAACAACCACCAACCGGAUAAAGAAUCUCCAUAAUUUGUUAAAUCCGUAUCGUCUUGUGACCCAACAUCAAUGGCCAAAAUAUGAUGCGCUCCUUGCCUCAACAUUUCGUCAGCUUGAACAAAAAAAGUUUAAGAUACCUGGCACGUUAUUAACAUAACACCCAUCGACCAAAAGAUGCCCGUCAAGAGGAUCGCAAAUAGGAGGAAAGACCCCCGCAAUGGUCAUACUGGCUCGAAUGUAUCUCCAUAGCAAACCUGAGUUGACUUAGCUAUUCAGGAUUUGACAAAUGCAUCUUUUAUCAACGGGAGUGAGCUUCAUAUCAUUUUCAAAUUUAUAUUACGCUUUUGAGUUACGAUGAAUCGUUCCGAACUUAUAUCAAUGAAAAAAGGGACUAGUAAAAUUUCCUUUAUUCAUUGAUAUGAAGUUGUUUUUAAUGUCCAGGUAAUUUUAUAAAAUUAAAGAGGAAAAUCGUAAAAAUAUUUUUGUCUAAGAGCGUUUGUGCGUUCAACUCAAAAUAUGUAUAGCACAUAUACUAAUAUAACAUUUUAAUACUGUAGUGCAUGUUUAUAUCACAUAAUAACGAAGUUAGACGCACUCUUUUAAUGUAACGCUCAAAUUACCUGGAAGGUUAUUGACGUACCCGCCGUCGAGUAGGAGAUGGCCGUCAACUGGGUCACACAUGGGUGGCAUAUAACCAGACAAAGACAUCGAAGCUCGAAUGUACCGCCACAGCGAUCCUAAACACGACGAAUUAAGUUCUUAAACAUAUGUUUGUAUUUUACUUCGUACUUCGUAUGUUCAUCUAUAAAUUAUGUAAUAUUCUUUUGGUGCAAGAUAACUUUAAAGCUCAUUGUUACCAUAAUUCAUUAAAAAAUAUCUAAGGAGUUUAUUUUUUAUACAUCUAGUUUUCAAGCGAGAAGUGAUUCGACAUUUGUCAACAAACGAUACAGAACGGAGAGUACGUCAUUAUAAUACAGAUUAUCCAGAAAGCUCACUCCCGCUGUUCAAGCUUAUUUCUACGCAAUGCUUUAUGGUAAUGCUUAUUUAAAUUU